AUUUUUAUAGUGUAUUAACACGUUACAUUUUCGUUGUAAAAAAGAAAUUUAAUUUUUCUAAAAAUU
rnacentral:tRNA from 1 species